rnacentral:rRNA from 1 species
GGUUUGAUCCUGGCUCAGACGAACGCUGGCGGGAUGCUUGCCACAUGCAGUCAGGCAGCAGCACGGACUUCAGUCUGGUGGCGAGUGGCGAACGGGUGGUAAUGUAUCGGAACGUGCCUAGUAGCGGGGGAUAACUACGCUUGAAAGCGUAGCCUAAUGCUUCCACGCCGCCCUUCGGGAGGAAAGCAGGGACCUUCGGGCACUCGCACUGUCGGCAACCGAUAUCGGAUUAGCUAGUUGGUGGGGGUAACGGCUCGCAAGGCGACGUCGGCCAGCUGGUUUGAGAGGACGACCAACCACGCUGGGACUGAGACACGGCCCAGACUCCUACGGGAGGCAGCGGUGGGGAAUUUUGGACAAUGGGGAAACCCUGAUCCAGCCAUCCCGCGUGUGCGUUGAAGGCCUUCGGGUUGUAAAGCACUUUUGGCAGGAAAGAAACGGCACGGGAUAAUACCCCGUGCAACUGACAGCCGCCUGGAGAAUAAGCACCGGCUAACUACGUGCCGAAAGCAGCCGCGGUAAUACGUAGGGUGCAAGCGUUGAUCGGAAUUACUGGGCGUAAAGCGUGCGCAGGCGGUUCGGAAGAAAGAUGCUGAAAUCCCAGAGCUUAACUUUGGAACUGCAUUUUUGACUACCGGAGCUAGAGUGUGUCAGGGGAGGUGGAAUUCCGCGAUGUAGCAGUGAAAUGCACGUAGAUAUGCGGAGGAACACCGAUGGCGAAGGCAGCCUCCUGGGAUAACACUGACGCUCAUGCACAGCCACGUGAGGCAAACAGGAUUAGAAUACCUGGUAGUCCACGCCUAAACGAUGUCAACUAGCUGUUGGGGCCUUCGGGCCUUGGUAGCGCAACUAUCUUGCGUGAAGUUGACCGCCUGGGAGAUGCAGUAUAGGAUUAAAACUCAAAGGAAUUGACGGGGACCCGCACAAGCGGUGGAUGAUGUGGAUUAAUUCGAUGCAACGCGAAAAACCUUACCUACCCUUGACAUGUCUGGAAUCCCGAAGAGAUUUGGGAGUGCUCGCACUUAAGGAACCGGAACACAGGUGCUGCAUGGCUGUCGUCAGCUCGUGUCAUUACGAGAUGUUGGGUUAAGUCCACAUAGCAGACAACCCUUGUCAUUAGUUGCUACGAAAGGGCACUCUAAUGAGACUGCCGGUGACAAACCGGAGGAAGGUGGGGAUGACGUCAAGUCACUGCUGGCCCAUAUGGGUAGGGCUUCACACAUCGCCUGGUCGGGACAGAGGUCGCCAACCCGCGAGGGAGCAAUCCCAGAAACCACGAUCGUAGUCCGGAUCGCAGUCUGGCGCUCGACUGCGUGAAGUCGGAAUCGCUAGUAAUCGCGGAUCAGCAUGUCGCGGUGAAUACGUUCCCGGGUCUUGUACACACCACCCGUCACCAUGGGAGUGGGUUUUACCAAGUAGUUAGCCUAACCGUAAGGAGGGCGAUUACCACGGUAGGAUUCAUGACUGGGGUGAAGUCGUAACAAGGUAG